GACAGAGGGUGCGAACGUUGUUCGGAAUUACUGGGCGUAAAGCGCGUGUAGGCGGCAACGCAAGUCGGGCGUGAAAUCCCACGGCUCAACCGUGGAAGUGCACUCGAAACUGCGUAGCUAGAGUCCUGGAGAGGAAGGUGGAAUGCUUGGUGUAGAGGUGAAAUUCGUAGAUAUCUGGAGGAACACCGGUGGCGAAGGCGACAUCCUGGACCGGUAUUGACGCUGAGGCGCGAAAGCCAGGGGAGCAAACGGG
rnacentral:rRNA from 1 species